rnacentral:tRNA from 1 species
GAGUGUAUAGCUCAGAAGCAGAGUGCAUGACUAGCAUGCAUGAGGUCCUAGGUUCAAUCCCAGUACCUCCA